rnacentral:tRNA from 1 species
GGAGAGAUGGCAGAGUGGUCGAUUGCGGCAGUCUUGAAAACUGUUGACGUGAAAGCGUUCGGGGGUUCGAAUCCCUCUCUCUCCG